UUUUUCAAACAUUUACUGAACACAACACCAUUUUUCCUUUUACACAGCAAAGUUGUUAGUUUCAAAUUAGCUGAGCCAUUAGGACUGUCAAUUGCCAUGAAAUCAAGUGAUUCUACAUGUCAAACUCAAGUAGACGACAUCAUGCAAUAUAUAAGUCACUGAUAGGCCCCGGUGCGGUCAGCAAGUUACUAAGCUUAUUAAAGUCACAUAAAUGGCUUGACAAGAGUGCACGAUAGGAUGACAUCACUGGCUCGCAGUAAACCACGGUGAAUUACUAGACUACAGCUAGGUAGCUCCUCUGCCCCGAGGACUGCAGGGUGCGGUGAGCAUUAGAGGACAGGGUCCUGCCGUAGGUGAAGGCCAGACUUUACUCCAGCUAUGUUCCUCUGAAAAGACUGGUUAGGAAAGCUUGCGGGGAGAGGUCCCCUCAUCUCUUCAUCUACCAAUUACUGAGCAACAACAACAAAAGUCAUGCACACAUUUUACAAUACCUGAUGGAAAAAGAGGUGCGAAGCCUGCCUGUGUCCUCACCUAGCAGGCCUGCCUCUUCACGCCUUCACAUCUCUGAUGAGGCUACUCAUCCCAUGAUUCACCCCUAAAGGAAAGCUGGGAAGCUGUAAUUUAGCAGCAUUCGCCCCUGCAGAUACAUCAACGAUACACUCCCCCAAACCUUCAAACGGCUGUCCCUUCCCUACACAUUAACACAGGGUACACUCUACAAACCUAGGACUAGAGACCACAUUUACUUUACAUUUGUAGUAGUCAAUAUAUCGGCAUUGUCACUGUAGGGUUUGUCCCAGAUCCCAGGCUUGAGAAAGGGGCUGCUGUACGCCUGGCCCAUCUCUGGCAGGUCUGCUAGAAACUUCAAAGAAAGCCCCUCAGUGUAUGUACAAAGCGAGGGGCUGUCAGAGGAUAUCCAGCUGUGCACUUUCAAAAUGGGAGUGAGCACAGCUUAGAAUCUGAACUGAAAUUAGUUCACAGAGCCAAAGGCAGAGUUGAGGGUUUUCCUCUUCCCUAUCACUGUUGCAGUCAUGAGAAGAGUGCACGUCUGUGUGCACUGACAUCCAGGUAGCUGAUAAAAUACACUUCAGAUUUUUACAACCGUCUGUGUCAUGAGGCACAGAUACUUUAACCCACCUACUCAGGUUCAGCCACUGGCUGCUUCUCAACAAGCAGAGUACAGACAGCACAAGUCCUUUGCCUUCCAUAGUCCAAGAACAAGGACAUUCUGCUGCUCGAAUUAUCCAAAGCGACCUCAUUUUAACUUGAUGCCUCAAUUACAAGAACUCCUCUCUGGGACUUUUCAGAAAUGUUUGUCUCAAACAGUGUUGCCUUUAGAGAGGUGUUACUUCCUAACCAUACUUUAUGUCAAACAAUGUUGUCAUGCCUAAGUCCUCACAAUCACUAUUUAGUAACUAUUAGUAUGAGGUCAAAACCCCUCUCAGAAACUAGCAAAACCAAAGCUUGGCAGAUGGGCCACUUUUUGGUUUGCAUGUUUAAAGUUCCCACAGUGAAGAACCUCCAGGUGAGAGCAAGCAAGAGUGGACUACAAAAAGCCAGAGUGUCAGAGUCAGCUGCCCUUUCUUCAACAAGAGGAUAGGUUUGCUGCCCACACUGGGGUCAGUCACUGAAGUGUAAAGUUUCAAUUCCUAACUGCAUAAAGAAGUGAAAGGCACGCUCCUGCACUCCUGGCUCAUCCAAACUUAUGUGACAAUUAACACAAGUGACAGGUUCUGGGGAAAUCACUAACACUAUCAAGGAAGAGUUACAAUUCAAAGCAUGAUUCUACCAAUAACAAACAUCAAAUGACAGACAUGGCUGCAACAGAAGACAGCCUACUGAGCUAGCUACAAUGCUAUCACCGUUCACACCUAUUUUUCUUUAAAACAAAAGUUCAUGGAACAUUUGGCUGAGCAUAUUUUCAAAGAAUGCUCCCAAAAACAAGUAAUGGAAAAACCAGGCAUGAGGAUCACUUCUUCCUAUAAUGGCUUUAUACAGGUGUUCCACAAUGCAAAUCCGGAGUGAUGGUACAGACAGAAACAGACCCUCAGCAAGAGUGCACAAUGUGCAACUACACAACUAAACAAAUCUAGUUUACCACCAGCCCAUCCCAUUCACUCCACCCUCAUCAGCUGUCUUCCCUGCUUCAAAAGCUGUCCUUAAAUUCUACAUCAGAAUAUGCAUAUUAUCAUCCUCAUAUAUAAAUAAUGUCUUAGAACAGUGUUGGUCCUGGGUAGUGAAAGAGGAAAAAUGUUUUUAAAACAUGCAGUAUUAUCUGAUAGAUACUUUUAAGUUUGGGUGCUUAAAAAUCAUAUACAUUAAAAAUGGAACCAACUGAAUACUAAGUUUCACAGCUAUUCCUCACUGUCCUCAUCAGACCUUAGAGUCCGAAAAGGAGAGACCGGACCUGAGCCUGAGAAGAGGCAGGGCUGACUCACCUUGUGCAGUGUGUCAUCUCUUCCAGGCCACGGAGAGCUGCCAGAGCAAGGUGAAUCAGUAUCUCCUCAAGUCACAACAAGAGGGUCCAGGUCAGAAGUUCCCAAGUUAGGGCAUCCCAACACCUCCCUUUAAGCCAUCAGAAAUGCCUUCCAUGUAAACUCUCAAGUUAGGAAAACAACUAACGCAAGGACACACGUAGCACAGCAACAGCCACUGCACCUUGCACCCUGGGAGCAGGAUACUUUUCAAGUCUCCCUUCCUGCCCUCCCCAGGAUCUCAUUCUGUGGGGUAGCUCUGCUUAAGGCCCUAGGUGCUGAUUUUGGCUUGGUCACUUGGUACUACUCCAACUACAACCAUUCUCCUAUGUUUUAGAAGCAAUAUCCACAGGUAUAGUAUUUGUGAAAUCUUACAGGUUGUUCAAAGUUUAUAUCUGAUGUUGUAUCAUGACAAUGCUUUUCACUAAGGAAAACAAGAAGCUGCGGGUCUCCACGUAUGGUUCCAUGCACUAGGGGAGCUCAGGCGUUCAUUUGGCACUAGAGAAAAUUACAGGAACAACUAGUGUUACUUUCUUUCCCAUCCCCAGCAUCGGUAGAAGCUGGCGUUCCUUCAACUUGAAUUUCUGUGAUGCUUUAGGAGAAAAAUCACAGAAUACUCUUAAGAGUUGAAAUGUUGCUGAUAAAAAAAAAAGCAAAAAAACAAAGACCUCAGUACCACACUCUGCGGUAGAAGAGUCUACGGCUCUGAGAUACACUUCGUGUGGCACUGAGAAUCAUUUUCCUCAUCAAGUACUUCACUUCCUAUCCCUACUCCUGGUUUCCUACAUCUUACAACGGACUAAGUAAGAACAUCACAAGUGUCCUCAUUCCUUUUCACCCUACACCUAAUCAGGGAGACACAAUGCCCUCUGGAAAGGCAGGCAGUUUCCAAUUUUUAAAGAUACAACACACAAGGAAAGGGCUGGAAGAGGACGAAGUACAAUGUCUACCUAUACUGUGACAAUGUUUCAUAAUACAGCUUGCUCCUUAUUUAGGUCUGUGAGCCAAAUCAAAUGCGUAAAUGCAAUUUAGAUCCAUUAUUACAUCAGAGACCAGACGAAUUCAAGCCUAAGAGUGGAAUCUAGCAAUGUCCGCAAGGUUGUGCUAAGAUCACCAGUUAGAAGACACUACCCAGCAGAAUGCAAUGAUUUUCAGAAAUUCAACUCUCCAACAAUAACUGCACAUAAUUUUCAGAUUAUUAAUCAGUAGCUAAGUGUUUCAAGUCCUCCUGAUGUAAAAUGUGCUGUAUCACUGCACACACACAGUGAAGUAAGAACCAUCCAUGCAGGGCUUGAGCAUCUCCCAUUGCUCCCAGUGUUCCUUUUUAGUUCAUUUUCUUCAUGAAAUCCUCAAAACUGCUGCACGGAUGACAUGCUGACAUCAGCUUAACAGAAAUACUUUUGUAGGCAGCUGUUUAAAACAUCAUCAAUUUUAAAUCACAAAUGCCCCAUUACACAAAAAUCUUACAUUCAUUCCUUUAAAAAAAAAAAAAAAGA
ensembl:lncRNA